rnacentral:rRNA from 1 species
AUUGAACGCUGGCGGCAGGCCUAACACAUGCAAGUCGAACGGUAACAGGAAGCAGCUUGCUGCUUUGCUGACGAGUGGCGGACGGGUGAGUAAUGUCUGGGAAACUGCCUGAUGGAGGGGGAUAACUACUGGAAACGGUAGCUAAUACCGCAUAACGUCGCAAGACCAAAGAGGGGGACCUUCGGGCCUCUUGCCAUCGGAUGUGCCCAGAUGGGAUUAGCUAGUAGGUGGGGUAACGGCUCACCUAGGCGACGAUCCCUAGCUGGUCUGAGAGGAUGACCAGCCACACUGGAACUGAGACACGGUCCAGACUCCUACGGGAGGCAGCAGUGGGGAAUAUUGCACAAUGGGCGCAAGCCUGAUGCAGCCAUGCCGCGUGUAUGAAGAAGGCCUUCGGGUUGUAAAGUACUUUGCAGCGGGGAGGAAGGCGAUAAGGUUAAUAACCUUGUCGAUUGACGUUACCCGCAGAAGAAGCACCGGCUAACUCC